rnacentral:rRNA from 1 species
CUACGGGAGGCAGCAGUGAGGAAUAUUGGUCAAUGGACGAGAGUCUGAACCAGCCAAGUAGCGUGAAGGAUGACUGCCCUAUGGGUUGUAAACUUCUUUUAUAAAGGAAUAAAACGAGGCACGUGUGCCGUUUUGCAUGUACUUUAUGAAUAAGGAUCGGCUAACUCCGUGCCAGCAGCCGCGGUAAUACGGAGGAUCCGAGCGUUAUCCGGAUUUAUUGGGUUUAAAGGGAGCGUAGAUGGGUUGUUAAGUCAGUUGUGAAAGUUUGCGGCUCAACCGUAAAAUUGCAAUUGAUACUGGCAGUCUUGAGUACAGUUGAGGUAGGCGGAAUUCGUGGUGUAGCGGUGAAAUGCUUAGAUAUCACGAAGAACCCCGAUUGCGAAGGCAGCUUACUAAACUGUGACUGACAUUGAUGCUCGAAAGUGUGGGUAUCAAACAGGAUUAGAUACCCGUGUAGUC